GCUAGAUGCAUAGUCUUUGAGGGAGUAGAUAAAGUCUUUAAUUUUUCAAUCUUAUAGUCUAUUUUAAAUAUUUUUAUAUAUUUAUUUUGAUGUAAUUAAAUCUUGUAAGACUCUCUUUUGCAAUGAAAUUUUUAUUCUAUUCAUGAGUUGCUUUCAAGUUAUUAUACUUCAAGCUUAUGUAGUUAGUCCUUGAAUAGUUUAUACAUUUGUUGGGAUGAAUCAUGAUCGGAAGAUACAGUCCGUGCUCAAGCUAAAUAGGCUAUCUUAAAGAUUUACUCAUAGAUUUUUUUAUCUUCGUUUUAAGAUCUUUUAUGAUUCAAGUUUGAAUAAUUUAUACUUUAGGGAGAUAGGUCGUGAUCGGAGAUACAAUUUGUGCUUAGGUGACAUAAGUUAUGAUC
rnacentral:lncRNA from 1 species